ensembl:lncRNA TEX14BP testis expressed 14B, pseudogene
AGGCGCUGCGGGAGGCCACUGGUGCUCAAGCACCUCGGAUUCCCGCUCAUACAGCCGGCCGGAUCAUGUGGCAGUCAGGUGGCGACCACUAUCUAGCCCAACGUUGCUGGAGUUGUUGCAGCUCUGCCGGGCCCACAUAUCAGCGUUCGUGCAUGACGCCUCCUGUGGAUGGGUCACAAAAUGACUGUGCAGCAGCCGAAGGCCCCUGGAACCCAGACAGAUGUGCUACUGGCUGACCUUCAGCACUGCAGGCCCACUGGCGAGCUCACAGUGGCUUCAGCUCUCACACCGUGUAGCUGGUGCAGCCAGGCCUGGCUAAAGUGGGCCACCUGGAGCACAGGCGCCUCCUACGCCAGCGCUGGCUGCGGCCCAGGCAGCAGAAGGGCUACCCCUGGGGAGGCCCAGGCCCAGGGCUUCCCCCGCCCCCUGAACUACACCCAUGGCUGCCACUUCAGCUGAUCUGCGGUGACAUGCCCACCACCACCUCAGACCUCUACAGCUUCUGCAUCCUGAUCCAGGAGGUCUUCACUGAGAAACUGUACAUCAAGUGGCUCACAGAGCCAAGACCACACCCAGGCCUGUGGCCCCUGUGAUGUCCCCAGGCCCCAUCCCAUGCCAGGCCUGAGACUCCUGAGGUCAGAGACCACAGCAGGAUCCCAAGGGGUGCAGCCUGGAACUUGGGCAGCAGCUUGACUCUAGGCAGCAGCUCUGGGCCCAGCCCAGGACCCAGCCCUGGGUCUGGCCACAGCCCCACAGCCAGGGUCAGCCUGCACUGCUGCCUGGAGCCCAGCUCAACAGUACAGAUACCCCCAGAGCCCUGCACAACUGUCCCACUGCUAACCUGUGACCCCCUCCGCCCGCCCUCCAGGAGUCACCAACCCGAAGUUCCCUGGCUGCCUCUCCUUUGACCAGGGAACUUUAGGGUCGCCCAACUGUCCCCUCACUCACCUAUGACCCUUAACCAACCCUGCUUCCCCCAGGGCCCUUCCCUGCACUCCAACUCCAGCCUCUAGGACUCAGCCUCCCUGCUGGGGACCCAGAGCUCUGCGGAACAGUUUGAGGAAGCUCUCAGCCAAGAUUCCAGCCCUGCAGGGGCUGCUGCGGCGCACACACAGGGUUAUUCUGCUGGAGCCCCAGCCCUGUGAGCCCAUCCCCAGCCUGCUGACCCACAGGGAGGCUUCCCACACACUGGGAGGCUGCUGGCAGGGAAGGCCACGAGGGCAGGCUAAGCAGAGGACCCCGAGCUCAGCCUGUGCCCCAUCUGCCCUCCCAGGCCCGCUGGAGCACCAUGGCUACCAGGUGGCAGCUCCAGCCUUCUCUCCUGCAGGCACCCGGUACUGAGCUGACUAGAGGAGGUCUCUUCUCCAGCCUGCAGAAGAUGGACCUGCUGGAGGAGAUCAUAGCAGAGCUACAAAAAGGAUGUCAGCUUGGAGAAAAGCCCAGCCUGAGCCCCACUCCUGACCUAGACUCCCAGGGUGCCCAUGGUUCCCCUCUCUGCAGAUACCACCUCUCAGAGGCUCCCAGGAGUAACUCCUGCCUUGGUGCCUCCCCAAAAGGAAAUAGAAUGAUAAAGUGCC